UUUUAUGAGAGUUUGAUCCUGGCUCAGGACGAACGCUGGCGGCGUGCCUAAUACAUGCAAGUCGUACGCUUCUUUUUCCACCGGAGCUUGCUCCACCGGAAAAAGAGGAGUGGCGAACGGGUGAGUAACACGUGGGUAACCUGCCCAUCAGAAGGGGAUAACACUUGGAAACAGGUGCUAAUACCGUAUAACAAUCGAAACCGCAUGGUUUUGAUUUG
rnacentral:rRNA from 1 species